GGCCUCGUGGUCUAGUGGUAUGAUUCCUGCUUUGGGUGCAGGAGGUCCCGGGUUCAAUCCCCGGCGCGGCCC
rnacentral:tRNA from 3 species